rnacentral:pre_miRNA from 1 species
UGGACAGAUUAUUGUAUUCGACUGUAUUCACGGUAGGGGAUGACACUGUUUUUAAAAGAGAAAGUGAAUCAACUAACAUAAUAGACUCUA